rnacentral:tRNA from 1 species
GAGGAAAUAGCUCAGUGGUAGAGUGUGUGCUUAGCACACACAAGGUCCUGGCUUCCAUCCCCAGUACCUCCA